AGUCAACAUGCCCAGGGGACGUGGAUAACCUCGGGAAACUGAGGAUAAACCGCGAUAGGCCAAGAUUUCUGGAAUGGAUCAUGGCUUAAAUCUAUAUGGCCCCUGGAUUGGACUGCGGCCGAUCAGGCUGUUGGUGAGGUAAUGGCCCACCAAACCUGUAACCGGUACGGGCUCUGAGAGGAGGAGCCCGGAGAUGGGCACUUAGACAAGGGCCCAGGCCCUAUGGGGCGCAGCAGGCGCGAAACCUCUGCAAUAAGCGAAAGCUUGACAGGGUUACUCUGAGUGAUUUCCGCUAAGGAAGUCUUUUGGCACCUCUAAAAAUGGUGCAGAAUAAGGGGUGGGCAAGUCUGGUGUCAGCCGCCGCGGUAAUACCAGCACCCCGAGUGGUCGGGACGAUUAUUGGGCCUAAAGCAUCCGUAGCCGGUCCUGCAAGUCCUCCGUUAAAUCCACCCGCUCAACGGUUGGGCCGCGGGGGAUACUACAGGGCUAGGAGGCGGGAGAGGCAAGCGGUACUCGAUGGGUAGGGGUAAAAUCCACUGAUCCAUUGAAGACCACCAGUGGCGAAGGCGGCUUGCCAGAACGCGCUCGACGGUGAGGGAUGAAAGCUGGGGGAGCAAACCGGAUUAGAUACCCGGGUAGUCCCAGCUGUAAACGAUGCAGACUCGGUGAUGGGCUGGCUUCGUGCCAACCCGGUGCCGCAGGGAAGCCGUUAAGUCUGCCGCCUGGGGAGUACGGUCGCAAGACUGAAACUUAA
rnacentral:rRNA from 1 species